CUAGCCGUAAACGAUGUAGACUAGGCGUUGGUUGAGUAAAAUCGAUCAGUGUCGGAGCAAACGCGAUAAGUCUACCGCCUGGGGACUACGGCCGCAAGGUUAAAACUCAAAGGAAUUGACGGGGCCCCGCACAAGCAGCGGAGCGUGUGGUUUAAUUCGAUGCUACACGAAGAACCUUACCAGGGUUUGACAUACAGGUAGUAGGGAAAGGAAACUGGACCGACCCUUCGGGGAGCCUGAACAGGUGC
rnacentral:rRNA from 1 species